rnacentral:rRNA from 1 species
AUACGAAGGGGGCUAGCGUUGCUCGGAAUUACUGGGCGUAAAGGGAGCGUAGGCGGGUUAUCAAGUUGGAGGUGAAAGCCCAGGGCUCAACCUUGGAAUUGCCUUCAAAACUGAUAACCUUGAGUAUGGGAGAGGUAAGUGGAACUCCGAGUGUAGAGGUGAAAUUCGUAGAUAUUCGGAAGAACACCAGUGGCGAAGGCGACUUACUGGUCCGUGACUGACGCUGAGGCUCGAAAGCGUGGGGAGC